rnacentral:misc_RNA from 1 species
GGAAAAAUAAAUUUUUAUUAUAAAUUCAUAGAAGACGCGUGCAAACUCUUAGAACCACUACACAAUUUACUGAGAAAAAAUACAGAAUUCAUUUGGAAUGAAGAAUGUGAAAAGUCAUUUAAAAAAAUUAAGGAAUACUUUUGUUCAAGUCCAAUCCUUUCAAUAUACGACCAUAACAAAGAAGUAUUCAUUUAUACAGAUGCAAGUGGAGACGGCUUAGGGACAGUUUUAAAGCAACCUCGAGACAACGGGACGUUACACCCGGUCGCGUACUUUUCGAGAAAAUUGAAACCAACAGAGAUAUUUCACUGUCCUUUCAGAUCAUAAACCGUUGGAAUCAAUGAGAAUCAAGGCAAGAACCGAUGAAACUUUAAGAGACCUGAUGCACU